GAUGAAGAACGUAGCGAAAUGCGAUAAGUAAUGUGAAUUGCAGAAUUCAGUGAAUCAUCGAGUUUUUGAACGCAUAUUGCGCCCUCUGGUAUUCCGGGGGGCAUGCCUGUUCGAGCGUCAUUAAAUAACCCUCAAGCAUAGCUUGGUGUUGGGCUUUUUUACGUCCUUGACUGGGAUGGGCCUAAAAAUUAGUGGCGAUGGCUUUGUUACUUUCAAGCGUAGUAAAUCUCGUCUUGCUAAAGAGGAAAAAGAUUUUUUUUCUGCCAAAAAUUUUAACAUUUAAAGUUGACCUCGGAUCAGGUAGGAUUACCCGCUGAACUUAAGCAUAUCAAUAAGCGGAGGA
rnacentral:misc_RNA from 1 species